rnacentral:rRNA from 1 species
GCAAGUCGUGCGAGACCUUCGGGUCUAGCGGCGGACGGGUUAGUAACGCGUGGGAACAUACCCUUCUCUAAGGAAUAGCCACUGGAAACGGUGAGUAAUACCUUAUACGCCCUUCGGGGGAAAGAUUUAUCGGAGAUGGAUUGGCCCGCGUUAGAUUAGAUAGUUGGUGGGGUAACGGCCUACCAAGUCUACGAUCUAUAGCUG